rnacentral:rRNA from 1 species
ACGCUCGACACCUACGGGAGGCAGCAGUGGGGAAUAUUGCACAAUGGGGGAAACCCUGAUGCAGCGACGCCGCGUGGAGGAAGAAGGUCUUCGGAUUGUAAACUCCUGUUGUUGGGGAAAAAGAGGAUGGUACCCAACAAGGAAGUGACGGCUAACUACGUGCCGGCAGCCGCGGUAAUCUGAGCGGGCUGGCAAGGC